CCUACGGGUGGCAGCAGUCGAGAAUCAUUCACAAUGGGGGAAACCCUGAUGGUGCGACGCCGCGUGGGGGAAUGAAGGUCUUCGGAUUGUAAACCCCUGUCAUGUGGGAGCAAAUUAAAAAGAUAGUACCACAAGAGGAAGAGACGGCUAACUCUGUGCAAGCAGCCGCGGGAAUACAGAGGUCUCAAGCGUUGUUCGGAAUCACUGGGCGUAAAGCGUGCGUAGGCUGUUUCGUAAGUCGUGUGUGAAAGGCGCGGGCUCAACCCGCGGACGGCAUAUGAUACUGCGAGACUAGAGUAAUGGAGGGGGAACCGGAAUUCUCGGUGUAGCAGUGAAAUGCGUAGAUAUCGAGAGGAACACUCGUGGCGAAGGCGGGUUCCUGGACAUUAACUGACGCUGAGGCACGAAGGCCAGGGGAGCGAAAGGGAUUAGAUACCCCAGUAGUC
rnacentral:rRNA from 1 species